rnacentral:lncRNA from 1 species
UUGCUUCUGGACUUCAGAGUUUCCACUAUUCAGCUUCUGUAUCUUCAGAGUCUUCUACACCAUCAGAACAUCUGAGCCUUCAGUGUUUCUUGGUUAUCAGAACUUCUGGAUCUUCAGAGCUUCUACACCAUCAGAACAUCUGAGCCUUCAGUGUUUCUUGGUUAUCAGAACUUCUGGAUCUUCAGAGCUUCUACACCAUCAGAACAUCUGAGCCUUCAGUGUUUCUUGGUUAUCAGAACUUCUGGAUCUUCAGAGCUUCUAGUGACUGAGUCCUCAUCAGAGUUUGUGUAACUUCAGAACUUCUGAAGCUUUUCCACUGUUCAUACUGAACAUGGUGAAUGCGAAAGCGUUGCUUGGGUCACUCUUUAUACACAGUGCUUCUGAUUUGUGUGAGAUUGAGUUGAGGUCAGAGCCUGUAAAUGGCACACUCAGAAAAACACGUUAGAGUACCACAAUUGUUCAUAUCAAAAGGUUAACUUGUAAUCAUCAAAACAUAGAGUUGUACUACUAGAUCAAAACUUGAUCUUACA